rnacentral:rRNA from 1 species
UACGGGGGGUGCGAGCGUUGUCCGGAAUUACUGGGCGUAAAGGGUGCGUAGGCGGUUGUUUAAGUCUGUCGUGAAAUCCCCGGGCUCAACCUGGGAAUGGCGAUGGAUACUGGACAGCUAGAGUGUGUCAGAGGAUGGUGGAAUUCCCGGUGUAGCGGUGAAAUGCGUAGAGAUCGGGAGGAACAUCAGUGGCGAAGGCGGCCAUCUGGGACAACACUGACGCUGAAGCACGAAAGCGUGGGGAGCAAACAGG